CGGGUGGGCGAUCCACUCGGCUCCAAUCCAUCGGCCACGGCCUCCUCUGGCGCGCCUCACGUGGAUCCCUCUCCCAUCCAACGACUCCCCUCGUCCCCCGCUCGUUCCUCUAUCCCUAUUUAUGGCCUUGCGCCCCAAUCUCGCCCCUCCUUUCUCCUUAACGCCUCGCAUCAUCUCCAACAAGUACGUCGAGCGGCCAGCAACCACAGGCGGUUCCGGUGAUGGAGUGCUCGGCAAGCACGACACCAGGAGACGAUCCGCCGCCGGACAGAUCGGUCCGCCGGGCUCGCAGCAAGAUCACUACAGCUAGUAUCUUGUGGCAAGGCCCGUUUCUCUUUAAAACUCGUCUUGGUUCGACCAGAAGAAGAUGAAAACAGUUUUGGUUCCCGAUUGGCAAGCAGUAUUCUGAGAUAUUCCAGAGAGAUGCAAACUUGAAGAGACGGACGUAGGAUGGUUCUUCACCGCUGUGACAGUCCCGGCGACCUCUACCCAGUUCAGUCGCCGUCAUCUCCGGGUGGUCCUCGAGCUUUUUCCGCCGGCGUCGAUCUUUGGCAUGCUCGUCUCGGGCAUCCUAGCACCUCUUCACUUCAUCAAAUAAUGAGAGGAUUUUCUUUUUCAUGUAAUAAAACGGCCGCUCACUCAUGUGAAGCCUGCCGGUUAGGCAAACAUGUUCGCCUUCCUUUUAGCUCCUCUUCCACAGUUGCAUCUUUUCUGUUUGAGUUAAUUCAUAGUGAUGUAUGGACAUCUCCAGUACCCAGUAAUUUUGGUUAUCUUUAUUAUCUGGUCA